ensembl:lincRNA
UUAUUUUCUAAAUCCUUAGCAUUAUUUUUUCUCUCACGUUUGUUUAUAAAUGUUUCUUACGUCUUGAAAAUUUCUAUAGAUAAAAUCAGUCCACCAGACGGUUAACGAACCUGAUUUCUUCCAGCUUAGGUCUACACAAGGUCAUGUAUAUAGGACGAAACAAGCUUGUCCGUUUUAGAACUGGAGAAAUUGUUGAACUGACCUAGAAGAAGAUAUUUAUCUGAAAUUAAAGCAAAUCAUGGAAGCUUUAUUUACAUCUAGGCGUUCUACCACGUAUACUGAGACUCUUUGUACAUUGAGGCUUUAUUCUAUUUUAUUAUGUCAUUUGAUUAAAGUGAGAAUUACACUCCCUCGGAUCUCUGACCUUCUGUCCUAGGAGUUUUUGUGGCUCACAGUUGAUUUUGCUCAGUUUGUGCUCCUCUGGCUGCACACGGGCUCACGGCGAGAGGGUGGGCGUCAUCCCAGGAUAGCAAGGACUGUUUCUGCGGAGAGCUACUCUCAGCGCAUCUGUUUUACUCUCACCCUGAACAGAAAUUGCUCAACUAUUCACUGGCAUCAGGAUUUCAGGGCCAGUCGCUCUUGGUGUGGAUAAUUGCCAUGAUUUUCAAGGACUGUUCUGUAAUUCUUUUCAGUCCAUUUUUAACCCUGGCAGACUAUCGCUGUUUGAUACUGACUACCAAGAAGCAGUUGCUGUAGGAAAACCAAACUGUUCUGACAUUUCUACUUACCGGGUUUCACUUGCAGUUCAUUUCAGAGCGCGACAAUCAGAAGAAACAAGGAAGGGCUUUGUUUUGUUUUGCUUUUCCAGACUCAUUUCAAGAAACACUACACGCAAUCUGUCUACACAGUUGUUUGGUUCAAGAAAAUGUUUCCACUCAUCUUACCGCCGCGUUGUAACGGAAAAUUGCUGCCGGUGCCAAACCCACCAAGAACGUUCGCGGCACCAAAGAGGACCUCUGCUCUCCACUACUGUACAUUUCUCCUGGCCUCAAAGGCUCAGCCACACGUUCUAAAGUGUAACGGGCCUCUGGAAGCAGGACAGGAGCUGUCAAGUUCAAUUUAUCCCUGCUCUCCGUUGAUAAGCAGAAAGAUGUUUUGUGAAAUGUCAGUAAACGUAACUUUAACCCAAAAAGAGUCUCGGAUGCAAUUGAGGAACGGUUUGAAAGCUGUCAUUGAUGGGAUAGUACUUCCAACUUGUAAUUGA